rnacentral:misc_RNA from 1 species
AUGUUAAAAUUGAUGAAAGGCAUGAUGGAAGAGACAAACGGCCUAAUGAAGCUCCUGAUAUCCUAACCGGUGGAAGGCAUUAUGAACAGGAGAAAGAAAACACAGAGAAACUAGAAGUUAUGGUUGAUCCUGUUCAUGCCAUGUUAAUUGACAUGAUUCCUAGCCUUGGAAUGAAGAGUGCGGAAACUACGAACCCGAUUCUGGAUCGUGAAAAGCCCCCUGUCGAUCCUACUGCACAGCCUGCAAAGAAAAAGAAAGUCAGCUACAAGGAUAUUAUUGGUGAAAUGUUCAAGGAUUGAUAUGAA